rnacentral:rRNA from 1 species
CAGCCGCCGCGGUAAUACAGAGGGUGCGAGCGUUAAUCGGAUUUACUGGGCGUAAAGCGUGCGUAGGCGGCUUCUUAAGUCGGAUGUGAAAUCCCUGAGCUUAACUUAGGAAUUGCAUUCGAUACUGGGAAGCUAGAGUAUGGGAGAGGAUGGUAGAAUUCCAGGUGUAGCGGUGAAAUGCGUUGAGAUCGGAAAGAACACCAACGGCGAAAGCACUCUGCUGGGCCGACACUGACACUGAGAGACGAAAGCUAGGGGAGCAAAUGGGAUUAGAUACCCCCGUAGUCCCUGUCUCUUAUAC